rnacentral:rRNA from 1 species
GACCGCCUGGGGAGUACGGCCGCAAGGUUAAAACUCAAAUGAAUUGACGGGGGCCCGCACAAGCGGUGGAGCAUGUGGUUUAAUUCGAUGCAACGCGAAGAACCUUACCUGGUCUUGACAUCCACAGAACUUUCCAGAGAUGGAUUGGUGCCUUCGGGAACUGUGAGACAGGUGCUGCAUGGCUGUCGUCAGCUCGUGUUGUGAAAUGUUGGGUUAAGUCCCGCAACGAGCGCAACCCUUAUCCUUUGUUGCCAGCGGUCCGGCCGGGAACUCAAAGGAGACUGCCAGUGAUAAACUGGAGGAAGGUGGGGAUGACGUCAAGUCAUCAUGGCCCUUACGACCAGGGCUACACACGUGCUACAAUGGCAUAUACAAAGAGAAGCGACCUCGCGAGAGCAAGCGGACCUCAUAAAGUAUGUCGUAGUCCGGAUUGGAGUCUGCAACUCGACUCCAUGAAGUCGGAAUCGCUAGUAAUCGUAGAUCAGAAUGCUACGGUGAAUACGUUCCCGGGCCUUGUACA